AUCCUGCCGGUAUCCAUGUCUGUUACUGUGUGGGUGUAGAGUGCACACACGAGUGUGUGAAUGGCAUGUGGGCUCUGCAGGCUUUUGCCUGUGUGUAAAUCCUUUGUGCACCUGUGAGUGUGUACACAUGAGAGCGCCUGUGAUAGUGGAAAGGCACAUGCUUCUGGGGGUACCGGGAGGAGCCUGAGGGCUCUGCUAAGUAGCAGCUUAUCUGCACCUGGGGACACCAGUGAGCAGGGAAUAGCAUGAAGACAACUGGCUGUGUGUGUGAAGGGGUGAAGGGCUGUGAGUGUGUGCAUGGCGCUCUCCCUGCCAUGACAGGCUCAUGUGUACACAUGUUUUCACUGUAGUGUGGGGGGUAGGAGACCCCCAGGAGGGUGACCAUUUGGAUCUGCAAUGCCAUGGUCACAUGCGAGUAGCACAGAGGGCCUGGGGGAAGCUGUUUUUGUGUACGUGUGGAGACGAAGUCUUUCUAGGCCAGGGGUGGGGCGGGGCUGAAAGUGGAAGUAGUUGGUGAUUUAUAAGCUUUUAAAGAAAUGCCUCAGCCCCCAGUUGGGCCCCAGACACAGUGAGUGCCAUGCAUUCUUCAGGUCUGACAUCAGCCAGACACCUGAAGCCACAGCAACGAGAGGAGGCUGCCUCCCUCACCUGCCCACCCACCGGAGGCCGAGGCCAGUGGCGAGCACGCACACCUCUUGCCCUGAAGCUCCUGCUGGGUGCAGGGGCACACUGCCCAAUGGAUGCCCCCGUCCAGCCACAGACCCCUCCCCAGCCACCGAGGCCACGUGCCAGAGGCAGUGGAGCAGCUGUCUCUGCCUUGGUGGGCCUGGGUGCCCCCUUUCCCAGCUAAGCCUGGCUCCUUCAGGAGAGCUGAGUGGGCUUCCUGCAGGCUUCUCUCCAGGACUAAGCAGGCACUAAGCAGAGUGCAGGAAGCCCUCGAUAAAUGCUGCCUGGAGGAAUAAGUGAACAAAGGCCGGUUCCCCAGAGCGGUGCUGUCUGGCCCAGGGGGUUCCCUGAGAAAAAGAGCAGAAAUCCCUCACAGGGUCAUGAUACCAAUGAAAUGUGGCGGCGUGCCUGAUACACGUGCUGAGUUCUCGGAACCACAGGACUCUCAGGGAAAACAUGAAACCUGUUAAAAUGUGCAGAAAAUGAAGCAGCAGCUUGGCCGGGAGGGAAGGAAACCAAACCUCAUAAGCCUGGCUUCCAGGGCAGCCCUUUCCUGGUUCUCUUGGGGCUCCUGGGGUGUGGGAAGAGUCCUGGGUUGCUUUUCCUCCUGCCCCAGGCCCCAGGGGCCGAAAGCUUUCAACUCCUCCUAAGUGCUCAGUGCUGAGGUGGAAGCCGUGGCCCUCAGCCUGCACUCCGGCCCUCCGGCCUGGCCUCUGAUCCCCUGGACAGAGCUGUUUGCCCAGCCCACACCUGGCAGUCUGUCCCUGACUGUCAGGACGAACAGGUUUGGCUGACCAAACUGGCAGCAGCCUUUGUUUUCAGUGAGAUAAAGAGUCAGAGCUUUGGCCACAGCUGAAAUAAACCUUUUGGACUUUA